UACGUAGGGGGCUAGCGUUGUCCGGAAUUACUGGGCGUAAAGCGCGUGUAGGCGGCCCUGCAAGUCGGAUGUGAAAUCCCACGGCUCAACCGUGGAAGUGCAUUCGAAACUGCAGGGCUAGAGUCCUGGAGAGGAAGGUGGAAUGCUUGGUGUAGAGGUGAAAUUCGUAGAUAUCAAGCGGAACACCGGUGGCGAAGGCGGCCUUCUGGACAGUGACUGACGCUGAGACGCGAAAGCGUGGGGAGCAAACAGG
rnacentral:rRNA from 1 species